UGAAGAGUUUGAUCAUGGCUCAGAUUGAACGCUGGCGGCAGGCCUAACACAUGCAAGUCGAACGGUAACAGGAAGCAGCUUGCUGCUUUGCUGACGAGUGGCGGACGGGUGAGUAAUGUCUGGGAAACUGCCUGAUGGAGGGGGAUAACUACUGGAAACGGUGGCUAAUACCGCAUAACGUCGCAAGACCAAAGAGGGGGACCUUCGGGCCUCUUGCCAUCAGAUGUGCCCAGAUGGGAUUAGCUUGUUGGUGAGGUAACGGCUCACCAAGGCGACGAUCCCUAGCUGGUCUGAGAGGAUGACCAGCCACACUGGAACUGAGACACGGUCCAGACUCCUACGGGAGGCAGCAGUGGGGAAUAUUGCACAAUGGGCGCAAGCCUGAUGCAGCCAUGCCGCGUGUAUGAAGAAGGCCUUCGGGUUGUAAAGUACUUUCAGCGGGGAGGAAGGUGUUGUGGUUAAUAACCGCAGCAAUUGACGUUACCCGCAGAAGAAGCACCGGCUAACUCCGUGCCAGCAGCCGCGGUAAUACGGAGGGUGCAAGCGUUAAUCGGAAUUACUGGGCGUAAAGCGCACGCAGGCGGUCUGUCAAGUCGGAUGUGAAAUCCCCGGGCUCAACCUGGGAACUGCAUUCGAAACUGGCAGGCUUGAGUCUUGUAGAGGGGGGUAGAAUUCCAGGUGUAGCGGUGAAAUGCGUAGAGAUCUGGAGGAAUACCGGUGGCGAAGGCGGCCCCCUGGACAAAGACUGACGCUCAGGUGCGAAAGCGUGGGGAGCAAACAGGAUUAGAUACCCUGGUAGUCCACGCCGUAAACGAUGUCUACUUGGAGGUUGUGCCCUUGAGGCGUGGCUUCCGGAGCUAACGCGUUAAGUAGACCGCCUGGGGAGUACGGCCGCAAGGUUAAAACUCAAAUGAAUUGACGGGGGCCCGCACAAGCGGUGGAGCAUGUGGUUUAAUUCGAUGCAACGCGAAGAACCUUACCUGGUCUUGACAUCCACGGAAGUUUUCAGAGAUGAGAAUGUGCCUUCGGGAACCGUGAGACAGGUGCUGCAUGGCUGUCGUCAGCUCGUGUUGUGAAAUGUUGGGUUAAGUCCCGCAACGAGCGCAACCCUUAUCCUUUGUUGCCAGCGGUCCGG
rnacentral:rRNA from 1 species